UACGUAGGGUGCGAGCGUUAAUCGGAAUUACUGGGCGUAAAGCGUGCGCAGGCGGUUUUGUAAGCCAGAUGUGGAAUCCCCGGGCUUAACCUGGGAAUGGCAUUUGGGACUGCAAGGCUGGAGUUUGGCAGAGGAGACUGGAAUUCCUGGUGUAGCAGUGAAAUGCGUAGAUAUCAGGAGGAAUACCGAUGGCGAAGGCAGGUCUCUGGGCUAUAACUGACGCUCAUGCACGAAAGCGUGGGGAGCAAACAGG
rnacentral:rRNA from 1 species